UACAGAGGUCUCAAGCGUUGUUCGGAAUUAUUGGGCGUAAAGGGUGCGUAGGCGGUUUGGUAAGUCUUAUGUGAAAUCUACAGGCUCAACUUGUAGUCUGCAUGAGAAACUGCCGGGCUUGAGUAUGGGAGAGGUGAGUGGAAUUCCUGGUGUAGCGGUGAAAUGCGUAGAUAUCAGGAGGAACACCUGUGGCGAAAGCGGCUCACUGGACCAUAACUGACGCUGAUGCACGAAAGCUAGGGGAGCAAACAGG
rnacentral:rRNA from 1 species